rnacentral:rRNA from 1 species
UACGUAGGGUGCAGGCGUUAAUCGGAAUUACUGGGCGUAAAGCGUGCGUAGGCGGUCUUUUAAGUCAGAUGUGAAAUCCCCGGGCUUAACCUGGGAACUGCGUUUGAAACUGAAAGACUAGAGUGUGGCAGAGGGGGGUGGAAUUCCACGUGUAGCAGUGAAAUGCGUAGAGAUGUGGAGGAACACCGAUGGCGAAGGCAGCCCCCUGGGUUAACACUGACGCUCAGGCACGAAAGCGUGGGGAGCAAACAGG